AACAUGGACGGGGCUCAUCAUUGCUAACGUCUUGCGGUGACAGAGAUUUCAAGGAAAAUAAGAGGAAAUCAUGUCAAACAUUUUCAGUGCAGUCCCGACAGCUGUUACCCGUAGCGAUUAGAGGCGGAAUACAAUUUAUUACGUUUCGAAAACCCAAACGGAGUCUGGAAUAAUGCAAGAGAUGAAUAAAGGCCUGCAGCCGACCUCAUGUCGGGCUGAUCGACGGCAACAACCACAUGUUCGUCUGAAUGAAGAUAAACCAGCUGCAGCUCCAAGAGUUUUUCCCCCUCCAAGUGUAAAUGAGAGUACAACAUGACUGGGAGGCUGGUGUGAAAGUACAUGUGUAAAGACGUGUGGAGGCGGAGUAACGGCACCAGUUGGGAUUUUAAAGGUCUAUAUUUAAACGAUCUGGUCUCUGGUUUCUGCAGCUGUUGCCAAGUUUAAGUUCAGUGAUGUUCCUGGUUCACAUAGUUCACAUAAACCUGCCAAACUCCAAGGUGUGGAGAGAGGGACUGUAGGACGGACUCCUGUGUUACUUUUGGCUCACAAAGCAUCAAACUGCUGCGGUGUCAUGAGAUAGAAGCACUUUUAAAGUUGAACAUUUACACCAUGUGCUUUCAAAUCUUCCAGAUCGCAGGCACGACUGAAACGCACCACCAAACAUCGAUCCAGAAAUAUAAAUGAAAACGUUGCAGGAUGUUGCAGAAAUACAAGGAGAACAGAAAAAAUGCACUAAAA